rnacentral:rRNA from 1 species
CUUUUAUGGAGAGUUUGAUCCUGGCUCAGGACGAACGCUGGCGGCGUGCCUAAUACAUGCAAGUCGAGCGGACCUUUAGGAGCUUGCUCCUGAAGGUUAGCGGCGGACGGGUGAGUAACACGUGGAUAACCUGCCUGUAAGACUGGGAUAACUCCGGGAAACCGGGGCUAAUA